GAAUUGCGAAAAGUAAUGUGAAUUGCAUGUACCGUGAAUCAUCAAGUUUUUGAACGCACCUUGCACCGCGGUGAAUUCACUGCGGUACGUCUGUUUGAGUAUCAAUCAUGUCACUACUCUCUGCUUGAGGUUUUGCUUCCAGUAGGCGAGUGCAUUGGACUAUGCAUCAGCAAGUCUUAAGUGCCCAUUUGCAUCCAGUGUCGAUCGACAGAGUUAAUGAUUCUGGCGCGUCUUCACUGUAUGAAAAAGUCUAUGGACAUCCACAGACUAAACUCUUGAUCUCAAAUCAGACGAGGAUACCCGCUGAACUUAAGC
rnacentral:misc_RNA from 1 species